rnacentral:lncRNA from 1 species
ACUCAGGCUUCCAUGCUGUAAGGAACAGUACUUCCUUCCUCUCCAGCGCUGGUGAUAUGACUCACAGCAAAACGUGAAGAUGACUUUCCUGAUGCACCAAAUGGCAGCUGGCUGUAGCGACUCAGGCUUGUGGUCCCCAGCACUCCGGAGGAUGAGGCGGGAGACCCAUGACAUUGAGUCUAGGGCUACAUAUCUGGACCCUGUCUCAAAACAAACUGAUAAACCAGCAGACAAAUAUCAAGAAUGAAGAACUUGAGCAAUAAGAGGAAACGCAUCAAGUGCUAGACACGUGGUACAUCCUUCUCUCUACCUAGCUAUAAUGACCCUCAUAUUCUGCCCGUUAUACAGGUAAGAAAACUGAGGCCUGAGGUUAAAUGAUAUUCUUUCUCUUUCAGUACUCAGAACUGAACCUUGGACCUCAUGCUUGCUAGGCACUGAGCUAUAUCCCCAGUCCUAAAUGAUGUUCCCAAUGUUACAGAGCUUGUAAGAGUCUGAGCCAAAGCUCCAGGAAUUCUAUUUUCUUUUCCUUUUUCUUUUAUUUUAUGUAUAUGAGUACCUUAUUGUAUAUGUAUAUUUUAUUUUAUGUAUAUGAGUGUUUUGCCUGCAUUUAUGCAUAUGUACCACGUGCUGGCUGGUGCCCUUGGAGGUCAGAAGGUGGUGCUGGAUCCCCUAGACCUGGAGUUAUAGUUGUAAUCCACCCUGUGGGUGCUGGGAAUUGAACUGGAGUCCUCUGCAAGAGCAAUAAAGUGUUCUCAUCCAC